GACGAACGCUGGCGGCGUACCUAAUACAUGCAAGUCGAGCGAACGGACGAGAAGCUUGCUUCUCUGAUGUUAGCGGCGGACGGGUGAGUAACACGUGGAUAACCUACCUAUAAGACUGGGAUAACUUCGGGAAACCGGAGCUAAUACCGGAUAAUAUUUUGAACCGCAUGGUUCAAAAGUAAAAGACGGUCUUGCUGUCACUUAUAGAUGGAUCCGCGCUGCAUUAGCUAGUUGGUAAGGUAACGGCUUACCAAGGCAACGAUGCAUAGCCGACCUGAGAGGGUGAUCGGCCACACUGGAACUGAGACACGGUCCAGACUACUACGGGAGGCAGCAGUAGGGAAUCUUCCGCAAUGGGCGAAAGCCUGACGGAGCAACGCCGCGUGAGUGAUGAAGGUCUUCGGAUCGUAAAACUCUGUUAUUAGGGAAGAACAUAUGUGUAAGUAACUGUGCACAUCUUGACGGUACCUAAUCAGAAAGCCACGGCUAACUACGUG
rnacentral:rRNA from 1 species